ACAGUCUUCCAGCCACUCUGCCCCAGGCCUGUAGCAUUGGUUGGGGUUGUUGUGGCCAAAGUGCAGAACCCAGCAUUUGGUCUUGUUGAAUCCCAUCCCAUUGGCUUCAGCCCAGCAAUCCAACCUGUCCAGAUCCCUCUGUAGGGCCUUGCUGCCCCCAGGCAGAUCGACACUUCCAGCCAACUUGGUGUCAUCUGCAAACUUACUGAGGGUGCACUCAAUGCCCUCAUGCAGGUCAUCAAUAAAGAUAAUGAAGAGGACAGGCCCCAGCGCUGACCGCUGCGGAACACCACUCAUGACUGGUUGCCAGCUGGAUUUAACUCCAUUCACCACCACUCUCUGGGCCUGGCCCUCCAGCCAGUUCCUUAUCCAGUCAAGAGUGUACCUGAUGUAUUCAACUAAUUUCCAACCAGUGAUACAUGGUGUCCAAGGGAAUGGGUAAAGGCCUUUAUAUUUAGAUCACCUAUAUUUAGGCAAGAUAAAGGACCAUGUCAUAUCCUACUAAGAACUAUCUGAGCUUAAUAGAUCAUUUCUACAGGGACUUGCAGCAUUGCUGAGUCUAUUAAAAAUAAUACAAAAAGUGGUUUUUAAAGGAGUAUGAAUGUUAUUUGUAUAAAUAAAAUAAACUUUAUAUAAAUAAAAUGCUAUGUGCUUAAGAAAAUUGUAUGUAGAAAGGAAUAGGAAUCCACAUUGUUUGUUUGCUUGUUUGUUUUCUGGCAUGGGGGAGGAAUGUGAUAAGUUCUCUGAAAGGCAUUCUGUAGAGAUGCAUCAAAGUCAGUUAUAAAUUAAAAAGAAAUUCAAGUAUUCCUUUUCUUUGAGAACUAACAAUUGUCCCAAGUAAUUCUGAUACAGGUUCUCUAUGUUAUUCUCCCUCGGUUUGCAUCCCACCCAGUAGAAAAUGUCAUAAGCAUAUGCACAACUUAUAUACCAUAAUACAGCAACAACUAUUUUAUUUUUAUUGUUUAGUUCUAGAAUUCUUUGACAAAACAAGAACUAAAGUAGAAUAUUCAGAUUUAAUCAACUCGAUGAUUUAAAAGCUAUUUCAGUUUGGGAACUCUUGUAGAAAAAGAUUUUAAAAUCACGAUUAAAUGCCGUAAAUCAGUUUCCUGGACAUCGCCCUUGGCUAUGCCAUCUUCAAUGAGACUUUCCUCUGUUUAAACACAGUCCCAAAGUGCAUCAUUUCAGCCAUAAAAAUUGUGUGGAUUUGAGACUGUAAAUAAUUUUUGCAGAUCAUGUAUAAAUAUUGUACAUAUCUGGCUACUUACGAAUUAAGUUAAAACAGGAACCAGAAAUCUGUGAAUUCUUGGCAUAAAAUUUUGUUUGUUAAAAUCAUGCUUUUCAUGUUUUACUUGUUCUGGUUCAAGAAUUGUUUUCUCAUUCCUUCAAAGGGUGCUUUUUUUGGAAAUCAUAAGAAAUACGUACAAGUUUUUAAUAUAUAUGUAUCUUUUCCUUUCCUUAUAUUAUUUCUUUUAACAUGAUUGGCAGUUGAUUGGUAAUAGAACUAGGUUCAGUCCUCAUAUUUAUAAGGACUUUGUCUGGGCAGUCUUGUUUCUUUUAUGGCAGUGACAUUCCCCAUGUUCCUACAUAAUACGAUAGGCUUAAAACAAUGGCAUUGCCUUUUGUUUUGUGCCAGAACUAAUCCUCAAUGACCUCCUUCAUGAACUAGCCCAUGUUAGCUAAACCUGUGGAGCAGAAAUGUCAAGCAGCAAAACAACAGCAGUGAAAUGACAAAUUUUCUGCCAGUUUAGUACUCAAAGUCCAGCAGCACAUGAAGGAGGGCAGGGCUGCAGCAUUUUUAAGUUGGCUGCCUUCAACUGCCUUAGAAAUGCAGCCUCUGGUCCCAGCUAAUUCUGUGCUUGUCAAAUGUGUUUAAACAUUAACAAAAAUAAAGAAGUUGAAAGGUGUUUUUUUGUUUGUUUUUUUUUUUAGUUUGUUUGUUUUAUAUUUUAACAAAUAAUUAUCUCUUUUACUUUAUUUUAAAUACAGUUAUAUGAUCCAGGUGAAUAUCAUCACUAUUAUCCAGCAUCCUUCAACUAUCAAAUUUGGGAUAUAACAGAUUGCAUUUAUAAUGGGUCUUCCAUGACAGUAGGUGCAUUUUCAGCUUCAUGCAUUAG
ensembl:lncRNA